rnacentral:rRNA from 1 species
ACGCACGCUGGCGGCAGGCUUAACCCCUGCCAGUCGAACGCACCUUUCGGGGUGAGUGGCAGACGGGUGAGUAACGCGUGGGAAUCUACCCUUCUCUACGGGAUAGCUCCGGGAAACUGGAAUUAAUACCGUAUACGUCCUGAGGGAGAAAGAUUUAUCGGGGAAGGAUGAGCCCGCGUUGGAUUAGCUAGUUGGUGGGGUAAAGGCCUACCAAGGCGACGAUCCAUAGCUGGUCUAAGAGGAUGAUCAGCCACAUUGGGACUGAGACACGGCCCAAACUCCUACGGGAGGCAGCAGUGGGGAAUAUUGGACAAUGGGCGCAAGCCUGAUCCAGCCAUGCCGCGUGAGUGAUGAAGGCCCUAGGGUUGUAAAGCUCUUUCAGUGGGGACGAUAAUGACGGUACCCACAGAAGAAGCCCCGGCUAACUUCGUG